UACGUAGGGUGCGAGCGUUAAUCGGAAUUACUGGGCGUAAAGCGCGCGUAGGCGGCUUUGCAAGUCGAGUGUGAAAUCCCCAGGCUUAACCUGGGAACUGCAUUCGAGACUGCAUAGCUAGAGUAUGGGAGAGGGAAGUGGAAUUUCAGGUGUAGCGGUGAAAUGCGUAGAUAUCUGAAGGAACAUCAGUGGCGAAAGCGACUUCCUGGACCAAUACUGACGCUCAUGUGCGAAAAGCGUGGGGAGCAAACAGGG
rnacentral:rRNA from 1 species